CAUACAGCUGCUUGAAGAUUCCUGUAAUUAUAAACAAAAUACUUAAUACUUAUACAAGGAUAACAACAAUACCAUCGUAUUGUUUCUAAGGAUUGUGUCCCACCAAAUGGAUCUAAAUACUCAAAGCAAUUGCAUAAAGAAAAGCUAGACGAGACCGAGCAUAAAAACGAAA